UGCCUUUGGAGAAACAUGGCGGAGCAACAUGGCGGAAUCCCUGGAAGAAGACCCGCUCCCCAUGUGGAUAUAAAGGGCUCAUUCUAAGGCUCCACAGCAGACCUAACGGCAGCAUGUCGGUCCUCUCUUCCAUCUGAGCGCAGCUGCCAGCAGCACCUCCGCCUGAGGACAAUGGUCAGCCACCCAGUGAAGCAUCCGUAAGCGGGAGUGACAGCCAAUGAAGAGCAGAGAGGCACAGACAUCAGAUGGUAAAGCAUGUCACUGUAGACAGACAAUGACAGCAAUGCCAUCAGCUGCCAAACCCACAGUCAUAAUUAUAUACCUACUGGUGAGUCAGACCGCCCUCUUGUCACUCAGAGCCACAAUAAACCGUGACAGCAACUUGAGUGAAACACCUGGCUGAAUGUCUCGGAGGUGACGAAAGGCUAAUGUGGUGGUGAAGUGUGGCGCCAUGCCACAAGCACACUCAUGGCCCUGUAAUCUGUGGCAGCAGGAGGAAAUGGCUGACAGAAUGACUUCCGGAAAUGUCAGAUUUGUAGUCACACAAUCAUAAAACUUCCCAUGACCAAUGUGUAAGACAGCAGUUAAAGCCUUGACAGUAUUAAAGCAUUCAAAGAUGGUUGUUUUGAAUGUUAAUGUUUCUAAAACCCCGGCAAAUGUUUAUUUUAUACUCAGUAUUCAAUUGUUCAAGUGCAUAUAAUAAGCCUGGGAUAACAUACAGUAGCUGUAUUAAUUGGUGGGAAAUAUGUAGAAUAUAAUAAAAAUAAGAAUUAUGUUAUAAUUAUAUUAUAAGAAUGAAUGACUUGAAAAGUAAAACUGUAUUGUGUUUUGGAGUGGCUAAGUGCAUAAUAUAGCAAACUUCCAUCUAUGAUUUUUGAUGGUGCGCUGGUUUCCUCAUAUGUUUAAAACACUAUGAAAACACUUUCUUUUCAACGAACAUUUUCCAACAUACCACGACACCAGAGGAGCUGCUCCCAGUAGUUGCAAAGGAAUGUGUAGCAUGCAAAGCAUCAUGUAGUGUAGUAUACAUGACGCAAGUUUCAGAGUUAGUCAUCAUCAGAGUUAACCAUGUAUUAUUCUUUCUCUCCCUGUUCUUUCCCCAGUUUCUCUGUUUUUGUUAUAAACUUGUGUUUUAAUUUUUAGACACAGUUUGUUAUCAACACUGCUUUAUUUUGAUGUACAACCACCUGCAAUGUUGCUAAUAAUCCUUGAUUGCUCAGCAAAAAAGCAGCACACAACUAUUGCAAAUACAUUAGGUCAACUGACUCCUGGCCUCAUGCUUGUAAAUAUCUUGGCAACACAGAUAUCAAGGUCUUCUGAAUUAAAAAAACAGGUAUGUCUUCUAGGUAUGUUAGUUUUAGGUUUUAGCAAGCAGCAACUAUCACGGCUUGAGGUUGAGGCCAAUGUGUAAGUACGUGAAAGUGAAAUGCCACCAAUGGCCACUAGAUGCUGGCUCCAAAAAGUCCCUGUCUGCAACUGAUUUCCAUUCAAAAAGCAUCAACUUCUCUCUAGACUAAGUCAAUCAUUUUUUUCAACAAGUCUCAAUAUCUAAAUUCUGGCCAUCUAAUACGUGUGCUGGUGGUCAUUUUUGUUGCUCCAUUAAUAAGAUUUGAAGACUUCUAGUAGCUUUGAUGUCUGUCAUGCGGGCGUUGAUUGAUGA